rnacentral:lncRNA from 1 species
UCGGCUUCGACCCUUCAAUCCAACUGUAAAGUUCAUCCGUCUCAUUGGUUGCUUUUGAAUUUACAUUUUGGUUCACUAGUUCCGUGUCAAUCUCUUACCUGUAUCACUUGUGUGGACCUGUAAUUAUCAAGGCUUUAGAUAGUCUCAUAGACAGAUUAUUUUUAUCGGCGAGUUAUAUUUGUAGCGGGUUGGUGUCGUCUUUCGGGAUUUUUUAAGUUUUCAACGAAGCUGUGUUUCAGUUUUUCUUCUGAACUAAUUUGGGAUUACGUGCAGAGGUUUUUUUUUUUUUUUUUCGGUA